AUCACAGUUCCAUGGGCACCUGUGUGUUAACACUAGUCAUGAGUGCUGGCUUCUACCUGACAGAUUGUAGGAGAGUUAUGUACAUGUUUGCUCAGUCUCAGCUCUGCAGCCAGGGAAAUUGAAGCUUUCCUUUCAUCAGGAAGGUCUAAAGAGUCAUGCAAAUAGAUGAUACCAGCUUUUUUAAGAUGUUUCCCAUAGACUUCAUCCAAGGCCAGAAGAACUCAAUGGUAGGCAGUGUCCUUCUAAGGACCCAAGAAAGCUUUCGGUCAAGUCUCAUCUAUUGAGGACUCCAGAUGGCUCAUGGCAAAUGACAAUGGGAUGUGCCCACUGAGGCCAGGAGAGCAGCACAGGCAACGUGUUCCCCAGCCCAUGCCUUGCCAGCUCCAGUGGCAGAGCCGUUUGGACGCUGGACCAGGGAGAAGCAGCAUCAAGCAGGAGAGCAGACCUUCGGUUGACAGUGCUGCUGGAGCCCUCCUUUCAGCAAAGUCUCAAGGGAAGACAGCGGCUGCUCUCUGCUUCUUGCGACCUACAACAGCAGAUGGCAGCUGAUGAGGAAAAACCUGUGGGAUUAUUCAUGAAGUACUUUGUCCCUUGCACCAUAAGUGGGGUACAAAGCCCAGCACCAAGUCCACGGCAUAACCACUAACCCAGCAUAUCCACUCUCUGCUGGUUUAUACUCCUGGCUGAUUUAGGACAAGCGUGUUAAAGGCUGAUUGUUACAGUGGUGAUUAAAGGCUAAAUCUCAGCACUGUGUACUGUUAAUAAAUGUCACUGCAGUAGA